ACAGUACAAUAAAUUAUGAUAAAAAUUUAGAUAUACAUAUUACUAGCUAUAUAUACAAUUAAGAUGGAAUCUAAUUAAGAAGUUGUAAUGCCCUAGUGUAAAUAAUGUUCCUAGUCUCUUUACAAAAGGUGGUAAAAUCUGAACAGUUUCUCACAUCUUCGGGCAAUAAAUUAAAAACAUGCGAAGCUUGGUCUUGUAACGUAUUGCUAAUCAGUGGUCUCUCUAACUGUAAACCAUUGCUAGAUCUUAAACAUUUGCUGUGUUGUGAUCUAGACCCCCUUCCUUUCAAGGCCCUCUUAUAAA